rnacentral:rRNA from 1 species
CCCUUAGAUGUUCUGGGCAGCACGCGCGCUACAAUGGUCUUCGCAAACGGAUGCAUUCUCGAAGGAGAAUGCCAAUCUUGGAAUCUAUGCCUUGGACGGGACAGUUGCUUGCAAUUUUUCGACUCGAACCAGGAAUUCCUUGUAAUCGUGAUUCAUCACAUCACGAUGAAUACGUCCCUGCCCUUUGUACACACCGCCCGUCGCUCCUACCGAUCGAAGAGUUAGGUGAAUUGUUUUGAUCGAUAAGAUUUGACUAUGGUCAACUCUCGUUGUGAAAUUCUGUGAAUCUGACUGUUUAGAGGAAGGAAAAGUCGUAACA